UACGAAGGGGGCUAGCGUUGCUCGGAAUUACUGGGCGUAAAGCGCACGUAGGCGGAUCUUUAAGUCAGGGGUGAAAUCCUGGAGCUCAACUCCAGAACUGCCUUUGAUACUGAGGACCUUGAGUUCGGGAGAGGUGAGUGGAACUGCGAGUGUAGAGGUGAAAUUCGUAGAUAUUCGCAAGAACACCAGUGGCGAAGGCGGCUCACUGGCCCGAUACUGACGCUGAGGUGCGAAAGCGUGGGAGCAACAGG
rnacentral:rRNA from 1 species